UCACACACACACUUGUAUUACUUUAUCUUUUUAAUUCUUGGUCGUUAUGCCUGUCCUACUUGGCUAAGCUGGCUCUCUAUGACUAACAACAAAGACUAGAAACGACUGGCGGCGGAGGAGGGAUUUAAAUGAUAGUUGAAGUAGAAAUUGUUUAAAUAAUGUCAGUCAUCUCGCACUAUUCGGAAGUGACGUAGAGAAGACAAAAGCUGUUAAAAUAUUCUAAAAAUAUAGAAAAAGAAAUAUCGUCCAUUAAUAAACCCCUUAAAGGACUUCGUAAAAUAAGUACCCACACACACACACACACACGCACACCCACGCGAGCGCGCGAUGCACACAUGAUUGAGGAAGGUGGAGGUGCUUUGAAGGACUUCGUAUGUGGAAGAUUCUAAAUGAAUUGAAAUUUUCUUUUUAGGCGACUACACAUACAUACACACACACACACACACACACAUACAUACAUAAUACAUACAUACAUACAUACAUACACGAUCAGCGGAAACAAUGCAACGUUCAACACGAGAAAUGAGAGGCAAAAAAGAAAAAAAGCGUAACAUUCUGUUCCUCAUUCAUUCAUUCGUAAGUGUCUCCUAAGUGUCGAAAGGAAAUCGGACAAAUACCGUUUUCAAGGAAAUUCGCGUAAGACAAAUCUUGGUCACACACACACACACACAACACACACACACACACACACACACACACACACCACACACACACACACACACACACACACACACACAUACACACACACACACACAACUACGGUAUCGUUACAAAUAUUCGCGAUCUCCGGCAACAAAAACAGAGGAAACCCAGAAGAUCUUAGAGAGAAGAACAAAGAGUAGAAUACCGAUGUACCUGAUGGUUUAUUUGCUGCGAGAAUCUGCUCAAAACCCAAAUCGAUUCCAUUUAUUUUCCAUAAUUAGCAGUAACUACUGUUAAUUAUAGUAUACAUGUGCAUAACUCACGGAAACAAUAAAAUACCUGUGUAAUAUAGGGAAGGGAAAACCAAAGGAACGAAGCAACUGGAUUUUGAUAAUCAAGAAAGGUAACAAUGGCGAAUGACAAGAAUCCAACGCGUGUUGAUUUGUCGUCGGAAAACUACGAAGGGAAUUCUCUGGCCAUGCAUGAAGAUGGCUCUGUGAAAGUAACGCAGCCGAUGCUACGCGACAAAAGCAAAGAAGCCCUCGACGACAGAGAAAAAGUGGAAUGUGGAUUCGCUUCUUUCCGUCCAAAUUUCCUGCAACGAUUCAACAAUUUGGCAUCUUUCACCGUGUUCUGUUCCCUCUCAUCUCUCUUCUCGCAUGCGCUCACUGCCUACAUCUCAUCACAAAUUCCAGAUUUAGAGAAGCAGUUUCAUCUGAGCAGUUUUCAAAGCGGUUUCAUAAUUAGUUGUAACGAGAUUGGGUUUCUGCUCACCAUUCUUUUAGCCAGUCAUUUCGCCCAAAAGACUCACAUACCACGGUUUUUGACAUUAUGUUCGAUUUUGUUCGGCCUGGCCACCAUUAGUAUGUUCUCUACCUUCGUUGUUCGACCCGAAACAUUGUGGGACAGCAUCGAUAGUUCAUCAAGUUCUAAAUAUCCCUUUCUGUAUGAAGAAUUGGAUUUCCUCUGCACGGAUGUCAAACUGAACAAGAGUGCAGAGCUUGGGAGAUGCAUUCAAAAAGAAAGGAUAAAUUACGGUAAAACUCACCUGGCCUACUCUAUUUUUAUCCUCCUCAUGAUUAUCCAGGGAAUGGCGAAAGCGCCGUGGUCAUCGUUAGUUCCUUUGUAUAUUGACAACAAUGUUUCAGACCAGAGCAAAACCGGAUUCUAUAUGGGUUUCAUAUUCUGUUUUGAGCUGAUGGGUCCAGGAUUAGCAUUUGGACUUGGAGCAAUUGUCUCGAAAAUACCUGUAGAUUUAAUAGAUCAUGGGACCGAUUCUAAUGAUCCUCGAUGGAUUGGAGCCUGGUGGAUUGGAUUCUUGGUGAUUGGUUUCAGUGGUGUGCUUAGCUUACCUUUGGCAUUCUUUCCAAAGUCUCUGAAGAACCCAGACGUUAUGCUAAGGCAGGCAAUUGAACCGAAGAAAUAUCGGGAGUCUGCAUCUGAAUUGACCCUUAAGGCUAAACUAAAAGCUUUACCAAAGUCUCUGGCAGAUGUCUUGAAGAACCCAAUCUAUAACAUAUGCUUACUCUCCAAUACAAUUCUGCUUCUGAUGGUUAUGGGUUUCUUUGCUUUCGCAGCUAAAUAUCUGGAGAUAGUUUUUCUUCUCUCACCUCUGAAAGCCAACAUAACCAUGUGUGUGGUGUCUCUUAUAUCUUCGUCGAUGGGGACGCUGCUUGGAGGUACGAUAUCAUCAAAGAUGAGGCUGACUGUACCAAAACUGAUAACAUUGAAGUUGAUCAUUAUGAGUGUUGUUCUGGCUGCUGAUGUGAUUAGUUUGUUCCUGGGAUGUGACCAACCUGUCCUCAACAACCCUCCUGACAGUUCUGAAUCAAAGGACUUGUUCAAGGUGUGUCACUGUGAACAUAAUAACUAUUUCCCUGUAUGUGGAAGUGAUGGGGCCAACUAUUUCUCCUCUUGUCAUGCUGGCUGUAAACAGUGGAUAAAUUCAACAUUUAGUUCCUGUUCUGCCAUCAAGGGGGGGAAGGCAAAGACUGGAAUCUGUGAAGACGGUUGUGGUAGCCUCUACAUGUUUAUAACCAUGUUCUUCGUUGCUGAUCUGGUUAUGACCAUAGACAUUGUACCUACAUACUUAAUAAUGAUCAGAACGCAGUAUGAAAAAAACAAAGCCGUUGCCAUGGGAUUUGGAUCUUUUGUUCUGUCAGCAUUUGGAUUCCUUCCAGCUCCAGCCUUGUUUGGUCAACUUGUAGACACAGCCUGUUCCAUAUGGGAGUAUAACUGUGGACAAAAGGGAUCAUGUCAACUGUAUGACAUAUCAAAGCUCAAGCGAUUGGUGUUUCUGCCAUUGGUGGGUGGACGGCUUUUAUCCAUUGCCUUGAUUCUGGUAGCUUUCUGUCUGGCAAGGAAACGGCAACAACCCGGAGACGUCUUAAGAGAGAAAAUUGCAGAAGCCAUAGCAAGCAGGAACUUAGAAACAACAAGUUUAUGACAAAAAUUAUAAAUCAUGUUAAUAAUAAUAAUAAUAAUAAUAAUAAUAAUAAUAAUAAUAAUAAUAAUAAUAACUGUAACAAAUAUUAGCCUAAAUAUUUGUGAGGAAGGGGUUUCUUUCAUUAAAACAACCCCAGCAUUUGACAGGUGCUUUCAUUUGUUGAAUCUGAAUUUCACUUUGGAGGGAUUUCAAUUUAAAAAGUAAAGAACCAGAAGCAAUACUGCACUUCACUGAUUCUGUCAAUCCACCACCCUAAAAAGGAAAGCAUAGGUUCAAGGUCUGAAAUUUCCAGUGGAUAGACAAGCUGAUUACAUCAACCCAGUUCUUGACUGGAGUUUAAUGUUAUCAGUGCCAAAAAAAAAAAAAAAAAAGAAUGAAAGGCCAAGUUGACCUUUGCAGGAAUU